UUUGAGAUACCAUAAUCUCCUUUAUGUAGAGCCUAGCUAGUUUGUCUAAGGGAUCAUUGAUCUUGAUAGCGAGACAGUGAGCUGACUUUGUUAGGUGAUCCACAAUCACCCAUAUGGCAUCGUGAUUUAAUCUGGUCUUCGUUAGUCCUACCAUGAAGUUCAUGGUGAUGUUCUUCCACUUCCACUCUAGUACAAGUAGAGGUGUAGUAGUCCUGCUGCCAUAUGAUGCUCUGCUUUAAUUUGCUGGAAAGUCAGACAUUUGGACACAAACUAAGCAAUAUUUUUCUUUAUGCUCC
rnacentral:lncRNA from 1 species